rnacentral:rRNA from 1 species
UACGUAGGGCGCAAGCGUUGUCCGGAAUUAUUGGGCGUAAAGAGCUCGUAGGCGGUUUGUCGCGUCUGCUGUGAAAUCCCGAGGCUCAACCUCGGGCUUGCAGUGGGUACGGGCAGACUAGAGUGCGGUAGGGGAGACUGGAAUUCCUGGUGUAGCGGUGGAAUGCGCAGAUAUCAGGAGGAACACCGAUGGCGAAGGCAGGUCUCUGGGCCGCAACUGACGCUGGAGGAGCGAAAGCGUGGGGAGCGAACAGG